rnacentral:ncRNA from 1 species
UGGUGCCCUAAUGGGGUAAACUCCUGAGGGUGAAAAGGGAACCAGGUGAGAUUCCUGGACAGACGGUGCUGCUGUGUGCCUCAUCAAGAGAAACCCUCACCGGGUCACUGCAAAACAGCGUCCAUGCAUUGGCGCAGCUAUGUGGGAAGGCCAGGUGACAAUAAUGGGUCGAGGCGAGUCAGAAGACCUGCCAAGUCGC